GUCUUUUCCGUUGAUAAAAUCAAAACGAUACAGAGAAGAUUAGCAUGACCCUUGUGUAAGGAUGACACGUACAAAUAAAAAAAUAGUUCAAUUACCU
rnacentral:snRNA from 2 species